UGCAGCGCAUUGGUCCUCCAGGGCAAGAUUUGAGGAACCCUGAUUUAAGUUGUGGGUGCGGGAUUCUGUUAUUUCACCUCUCUCCUAUUCAGCUAAAUUGUUUGAAUGUAUAUCUAAAUGACAAUAAUUGGAUUAGAUCCCCUCAACCCACAACAUCAUGACAUUUGCAGCGAGCGCUCAAUUGGCAGAACUGCUAAUCAAGAGGAAAGGCCAUCGAGCUGGACGUGUUUCACAGGUGUCUGGUCCAGCCAACACCUGAUUAAACUAAUUACAUCGCUGUUCUGGCUCCAGGCAUUGAUUCAUCGUGGGCGGUUUAACCCGCUUCGAUUUUACCGCAGAAGAAAGCUCCACCGGCUUAGAGACGAAACGAAGUGGAUGGAAAGCUUCUCCCUGCACUCCACAGUUAUUGAAGGCAAUGUGAUGAAGAUGUCUUCUCAUCCUGAAUGGACAAACCUGAGAAAUCAGCAGGACCCUUCAGUCUUCACUUCACCGCUGAUGUCAUCCGUGACCUUCUGAACCUUUGACCUAUCCGAGGUCAAUCACAAAAGAAGACUCACAUGUAAAAUCCCCGUCAUAACUCACAUCUCUCCAUCUGCGCUGAAUUUGUGCCGAUGAAAUCAGUCUGAGAUUAGCUGGCAUUAGAUGAACCGCUCACAUUGGUCCUUUAUUUGCCUGAUUGAUCUAAUCUCUGCAUUAACAGAAUUGCUUCUGUCUACAUAAAGUUUGUUCCUGUUUGUACAGUGGGGAAAAGCAAGUACAGCACCCAGAGAUGCAGAAGAGUUCAUGGAAAGAGCAGAACCAGUGUCAUCAGAAGUACAGGAGUGAGAGAGAUCUGGAUCAACACACACACACACACUGGUGGGAUCUCUUAUGUUCGUUAGGAGUGUGUUGACUAAGGCAUGUGUAAAACUCCAUCACUAAGAGUAGAAUGACUGCAGUCUGUAGAGAGUCGAGCAGAAUUCAGAAUGGAAGUGGAACUGAGCUGCAAACAGGAUGC